AUCACCACAUCUCCCUGUGGCCAGUUAUUCUGUCCCUCCUGGGUGUGUGACCCAGGGGGUGACGGGACGGGACGGGACAGGACGGGACCGUUUUUUGUUUUUGUAAUGAGCAGAAAACCACUGUGAGGUCCCCACGCUGAGCCUCCUGUGGGAUUCUGGCCUGGUCUGCAGGAGGCCCAGUCUGCAGGAGGCCGGGUCUGCAGGAGGCCCAGUCUGGAGGAGGAGCGGUCUGCAGGAGGUCCAGUCUGGAGGAGGUUGGGUUCGGAGGAGGCCCAGUCUGGAGGAGGUCGGGUCUGCAGGAGGUCCAGUCUGGAGGAGGUUGGGUUCGGAGGAGGCCCAGUCUGGAGGAGGUCGGGUUCAGAGGAGGCCCAGUCUGGAGGAGGUUGGGUUCGGAGGAGGCCCAGUCUGGAGGAGGUCGGGUCUGCAGGAGGCCCAGUCUGCAGGAGGCCGGGUCUGCAGGAGGCCCAGUCUGGAGGAGGAGCGGUCUGCAGGAGGUCCAGUCUGGAGGAGGUUGGGUUCGGAGGAGGCCCAGUCUGGAGGAGGUCGGGUCUGCAAAACCCGGUCAGAGUCGGGGAGCUGAGACUGUAUCGAGCCCCCUGGGAGACGGGCGGGGCGGAGGAACAGAGCGACCGCUCGCUCGCUGAAGCGCCAGCAUCCUGCACGCAGGAUGAAAGGCAGGCUCGGGAGCUCAACGGCAGGACUGCUUGCGAUUACAGGCAGUCGUGUCUAAAAUGGCGGAAAGCCAGGGGAAAGAGAACGGCUUCCCGGACAAUAACACUGACACACAAAGACCAUGUGACCCCUCAACCACCGAUGACAUCAUCACUGCCACUCACAGGCAUACAGUCGUGAUGGGAAUUUUAUAAAAUUAAUUUUUGUGAUUACAGAACUUUCAGAACUGUGAUUUUGACAGAGGACUAAAAUGAAUUAAUUUGCAAGGCAAAGGGAGGAGCAUGUUGA